ACAUAUGUAUCCUGACAAAACCUUAUCAGGACAAAAAACGUGGUUUUUAAUAAGCUCUUUUUUGGCUAUUGGAUUAUACCAACAACCCAGAUUAGUUUUCCUAUAUCUGAAAUUCCCUCCAACAAAACUUUGUGCGCUUCCCUUCGCAUCCCAGACACCAUCAUCCAACUCCCAAAUACAACACCAGAUAGAAGUUGAAGGAAACCUAUCCAUCUGCAAUCGCCAGUGCCUCCGUUGAUAUCGAAGAAGUACCCAUCAAAGGAGAAAGAGGAAAUACCCAUCGACAGAGAAAAACCCAUCAAAGGAAGAACUCAUCUCCAAUGGUGGGAAGCAAAGCCUUGUCAUGAUGGGAAGCGAUUUGAGCAUCAAUGGAUUUCGAACAGGUUUAAGUGUUGAUAUUUAUGGCAAUCAAAGUUCUGCUCUAUGUGAUUAUGAUGGGUUUGAACGGAAGGGCUGGGUUUCAAACUAACACGCUUCUUCUCCUUCAAUGGUGGCUCUAGUUGAUUUCAAUGGGCUUCGAAUGGACAUGCUUCUUCUCCGUCAAUGGUGACUUUGGUAGAUUUUAAUGGCCGAUGGAUGUCGUGGAUGAUUGGGUCUAGGACAUGAAGGGAAGGGAAUUUCAAAUUUGGAGAAGCCAAAAUCCAUUGGUUUAAUCCAAUGACCAAAAAGAGAGCUUAUUAAAAAAUCACUUUUUUUUAUUCUGAUGAGGUUUUGUCAGGAUGUUCUGACCAUAGAACCUUUGUGGAUUUAAAAUAUAUAUCUAUAUCUAUAUUUCUUAGGACUAUUUGGAUGGAACUAUGUGCGGACCAGAGAAAAACCGAUGCUACAUAAGAAAAAAACGUCAGUUUUUUACUCAGAGAAAAAGCCAACGAUACACGAAAAAAAAAACAUCGGCUUUUCUAAAAACAUCGGCUUUUCUAAAAAUAUCGGCUUUGCUUAGGCUUUGCUUCGGCUUUAUUCUUGGUCCGCAUGCAACUCCAUCAGAACGGUCCUAACCAUAGAAUCCUCCUAUAUAUAUUUAUUUAUAUAUAUUAUUGUAAGUAAUUUGAAUUCAAUAUUAUUUAAAUUUUUAAUUAAAUAUUUAAAAAUAUUUUUAAAAAAUUAUGUAUA